rnacentral:misc_RNA from 1 species
UUGGAACUGGAGGAGGAAGUGGCUUUACUACUGGUGGCUCUGGUUUAGGCUUGGGUUUGUGAGUUGGAACUUUAGGAGGGCAUGGUUUUUUAACUGGUGGAGGCUUUGGUUUUGGAACUGAAGGGGGACAUGGCUUUUUAACUGGAGGCUCUGGUUUGGGCUUGUAGACAGGAACUGGAGGAGGCUUUGGUUUUGGUUUGUAA